rnacentral:misc_RNA from 1 species
AUGUCAUUGGGUCUGCGGCCGGGCAGGCCCGGGCAAGAGAUCCAGCCGCCGAAAUGCUUCGUCUGGCCGGUGGGACGGUCGAGAAAACUUCAGAUCUCUGCCCAACACAAAACAAAUACAUCUGGAAAAAGAAGUAGUGAAAAAGUCACCUGCCCUGGGGGUGUGGGAAGCCACCAGGAAUCAGAUGAAAGAUCUCUACUACAAACCCAACGGACACGGAGACAUCUAAAAACGGGAGCUUCUUGGGAGAGAUAAUGUUGACAAUCUGUACAUAGAUCGCCGCGUGUUUUGUUAGCUGCACGGAAGUCUGUUGUAUGUGUUCGCCUUAAAAAACUGAGGACGAAAAAAGGGAAAACAACAGAAAACAGAAGAAACAGA